rnacentral:misc_RNA from 1 species
GAUGAAGAACGCAGCGAAAUGCGAUAAGUAGUGUGAAUUGCAGAAUUCAGUGAACCAUCGAAUCUUUGAACGCACAUUGCGCCCGGCAGUAAUCUGCCGGGCAUGCCUGUCCGAGCGUCAUUUCUGCCCUCGAGCGAGUCCAGCAUCUAGGUGCUGGGCCCGCCCGGCGUUGGGGCACUACGGGAAGCCCUGUGCUGUCCCCCGUAGGCCCCGAAAUGAAGUGGCGGUCCUGCCGCGGCGCCCCCUGCGUAGUAUAACAGCUCGCUUCGGGACCCGGUGGAGGCCUGCCGUCAAACCUUACUCUCUAAGUUUGACCUCGGAUCAGGUAGGGUUACCCGCUGAACUUAAGCAUAUCAAUAAGCGGGA